rnacentral:rRNA from 1 species
AUUGAACGCUGGCGGCAGGCCUAACACAUGCAAGUCGAACGGUAGCAGGAAGAAGCUUGCUUCUUUGCUGACGAGUGGCGGACGGGUGAGUAAUGUCUGGGAAACUGCCUGAUGGAGGGGGAUAACUACUGGAAACGGUAGCUAAUACCGCAUAACGUCGCAAGACCAAAGAGGGGGACCUUCGGGCCUCUUGCCAUCGGAUGUGCCCAGAUGGGAUUAGCUAGUAGGUGGGGUAACGUCUCACCUAGGCGACGAUCCCUAGCUGGUCUGAGAGGAUGACCAGCCACACUGGAACUGAGACACGGUCCAGACUCCUACGGGAGGCAGCAGUGGGGAAUAUUGCACAAUGGGCGCAAGCCUGAUGCAGCCAUGCCGCGUGUAUGAAGAAGGCCUUCGGGUUGUAAAGUACUUUCAGCGGGGAGGAAGGGAGUAAAGUUAAUACCUUUGCUCAUUGACGUUACCCGCAGAAGAAGCACCGGCUAACUCCGUG